ACAUUAGCCUAUCAUUCACUCGCCUAACCUCGACCACGGACUCCCUUAGGUCCCCAUAAACCAGGAUGCCCACUCCAUUCUUACCCCUCUCAAGCCCAGUGUACCACAGUUUAAACCCAUCAGCGUCCCGCGCCUUCGGCCCUUUCCACCUAGUCUCCUGGACACACGCUAUGUUAACCCUUCGCUGUUGCAGAACCUUCGCCAACUCAAUGGACUUACCCGUCAGA
rnacentral:lncRNA from 1 species